AUUGAACGCUGGCGGCAGGCCUAACACAUGCAAGUCGAACGAGUGGCGGACGGGUGAGUAAUGUCUGGGAAACUGCCUGAUGGAGGGGGAUAACUACUGGAAACGGUAGCUAAUACCGCAUACCAUCUGAUGUGCCCAUAUGGGUGUAGCUAGUAGGGGGGGUAAAGGCUCACCUAGGCGACGAUCCCUAGCUGGUCUGAGAGGAUGACGGGCCAAACUGGACCUGAGCAACGGUCCAGACUCCUACGGGGGGCAGAGGUGGGGAAUAGUGGACAUGGGGGGAAAGCCUGCUGCAGCCAUGCCGGGUAUAUGAAGAGGGCCUGCGGGUUGUAAGGUACUUUCAGCGGGGAGGCGUUACCCGAAGAAGAAGCACCGGCUAACUCCGUGCCAGCAGCCGCGGUAAUAC
rnacentral:rRNA from 1 species